rnacentral:rRNA from 1 species
UACGGGGGGGCGAAGCGUUGUUCGGAAUUACUGGGCGUAAAGGGCUCGUAGGCGGCCAACUAAGUCGGACGUGAAAUCCCUCGGCUUAACCGGGGAACUGCGUCCGAUACUGGCGGGCUUGAGUUUGGGAGAGGGAUGCGGAAUUCCAGGUGUAGCGGUGAAAUGCGUAGAUAUCUGGAGGAACACCGGUGGCGAAGGCGGCAUCCUGGACCAACACUGACGCUGAGGAGCGAAAGCCAGGGGAGCAAACGG